rnacentral:rRNA from 1 species
AACGAACGCUGGCGGCGUGGAUAAGACAUGCAAGUCGAACGGGAACUUCAGCUGUAGCAAUACAGUUGCAGUUUUAGUGGCGAACGGGUGCGUAACACGUGGGCAAUCUGCCGAGAAGUGGGGGAUAGCUCGCCGAAAGGCGAAUUAAUACCGCAUAUGAUCAGCUAAGACAUCUUAGCGACAUCAAAGCCGGGGCAACCUGGCGCUUUUUGAGGAGCCCGCGGCCUAUCAGCUAGUUGGUGAGGUAACGGCUCACCAAGGCUAUGACGGGUAGCUGGUCUGAGAGGACGACCAGUCACACUGGAACUGAGACACGGUCCAGACACCUACGGGUGGCAGCAGUCGAGUAAUUUUUCUCAAU